AUGUGCCGUGAACCCUGGACUGUGGGCCAUGUUUGUGACGGAGCUAGGACGCCGUGGACGGCUCCAAGCAGAGCCGUGGCCCAUGACGGCAUGUUCUUCCCGAUCCAUGGCCCGGGAAACCUGCUUUCUAGUUACAGACAGGGAUGGACAGCCGUGAUGAAACAGGCAAAUGACAGCGAUAUUCUAAUGCAGCCGCUGCACUACCUAGUGGCGCGGCCGGCUGAGGAGCCGCUAGCAGCUAUGGUGGAACUAAGUGCAGACGGCCAGAUCCAUGCGGCGGAAGGGGAAAUGGAUGCACAAGAAGGGUCGCCGAGAGCGUCGGAGCAGGUGAGAGUAGGUGUUGCUGUCCCAGGAAGGACGCCAUGUCCUAACCGGACUACUGCUCUGGAGAAGGCUAUCCAUGGUUUUGCCGACAAUCUUGGGGACAAUGUCAUAGUGCCAACUUUGGGUACAAUCUUUGAUUCUCUAGGUGAAGCAUACAACUUCUACAACCUAUAUUUGUGGAGAAAGGAUUUGGCAUUAGAUACGGCAAAAGGUCGAAUUGCUGAGACGACAUGGGUGGAGAGGGGCGACUCCAUUGGCGGUGAUGGAGUUGCUGAUGCGACCCAUGAACAGGGUCGCAGAUUCCCCUUUCUGGAGGAAUUGCAUGAGAGCGCAACCCCGAUGGAACCGGCAGCGUUCACGGUGGUUCGUUUGCUGUGCAAUGGAAUCGAGAUCAUGAUGCUCAAUCUUGAUCUGGUUGCUGGGAUGAAAAGAGACAAGACGAAUCUUGAAGAGGAAGGCUGUUCGCUGGGGAGACGGAUGGCAGUAAAUGGGCCAGCGAAGGUAGCAGGCAUUGGAACAGAAGUUUGGGCCACGGCCCAGGCCAUUGGCAGCCAUCUGAGCCGGCGCUAG
rnacentral:rRNA from 1 species